rnacentral:rRNA from 1 species
UACGUAGGGUGCGAGCGUUAAUCGGAAUUACUGGGCGUAAAGCGUGCGCAGGCGGUUUUGUAAGCCAGAUGUGAAAGCCCCGGGCUUAACCUGGGAAUGGCAUUUGGGACUGCAAGGCUUGAGUGCGGCAGAGGAGACUGGAAUUCCUGGUGUAGCAGUGAAAUGCGCAGAUAUCAGGAGGAACACCGAUGGCGAAGGCAGUGUUCUGGGCCAGUACUGACGCUGAGGAGCGAAAGCGUGGGGAGCAAACAGG